AUUUUUAUUUUUAUUUUGAAAUUAAUUUUUGCAUCAAAAAGUGCAACUUUUCAGGAAGACGAUAAGACCCUGUAAAACUUUAUUUUUGAGAGAGGUUCUUAUUUUGGAGUAAAGGAUUUUGUAUAAAAUUGAGCUGGGGCAGUAUCUAAAUUAUUUUAAGUAAGUAUAACAUUUAUUAAUGGCGCUGAAGAUCUUUAUUAGAAUUAGAGCAAGUUACUUUAGGGAUAACAGCGUAAUUUUUUCUUAUAGUUCUCAUAGAAGAAAAAGACUUGCGACCUCGAUGUUGAAUUGGGCGGUCAGA
rnacentral:rRNA from 1 species